rnacentral:rRNA from 1 species
CCUACGGGUGGCAGCAGUGGGGAAUAUUGCACAAUGGGGGAAACCCUGAUGCAGCGACGCCGCGUGAGCGAUGAAGUAUUUCGGUGUGUAAAACUCUAUCAGCAGGGAAGAAGAUGCCGGUACCUGACUACGAAGCCCCGGCUAACUACGUACCAGCAUCCGCGGUAAUCCGUAGGGGGCACGCGUUAUCCGGAUUUACUGGGUGUAAAGGGAGCGUCGACGGCGAUGCAAGCCAGAUGUGAAAGCCCGGGGCUCAACCCCCGGACUGCAUUUGGAACUGUGGGUCUGGAGUGUCGGAGAGGUAGGCGGAAGUCGUAGUGUAGCGGUGAAAUGCGUAGAUAGUAGGAGGAACACCAGUGGCGAAGGCGGCCUGCCGGACGAUGACUGACGUUGAGGCUCGAAAGCGUGGGGAGCAAACAGGAUUAGAUACCCCAGUAGUC